CCUAACCAUGCAAGUCGAACGAAACCUUCGGGACUAGUGGCGCACGGGUGCGUAACGCGUGGGAAUCUGCCCUUGGGUUCGGAAUAACACUUAGAAAUGACUGCUAAUACCGGAUGAUGACUAAAGUCCAAAGAUUUAUCGCCGAAGGAUGAGCCCGCGUAGGAUUAGCUAGUUGGUGAGGUAAAGGCUCACCAAGGCGACGAUCCUUAGCUGGUCUGAGAGGAUGAUCAGCCACACUGGGACUGAGACACGGCCCAGACUCCUACGGGAGGCAGCAGUGGGGAAUAUUGGACAAUGGGCGAAAGCCUGAUCCAGCAAUGCCGCGUGAGUGAUGAAGGCCUCAGGGUUGUAAAGCUCUUUUACCCGGGCAUGAUAAUGACAGUACCGGGAGAAUAAGCCCCGGCUAACUCCGUGCCAGCAGCCGCGGUAAU
rnacentral:rRNA from 1 species